rnacentral:lncRNA from 1 species
UCUUUUACAGUUCUGCUUAUUCUCAUUCAAGGAGAUUGUGAUCAAACUGCAGGAAGUAAAGAGUGGCCUACUAGAGAUGAGAAAAUAGAAAGGCAUUCCCUGAGAGAAGACUGGUAUCGUGGUUGAAACAUGCUCACAAAAACAUUCUGCAUGACCAGGCAAAGAUGAAGUCAAGAGCAGCAACAAUAAGGAGAACCACUAGAGGAAGAUGAUUUGCGG